rnacentral:rRNA from 1 species
GACGAACCGUGCGAACGUUGUUCGGAAUCACUGGGCUUAAAGGGCGCGUAGGCGGGCUGUCAAGUCUGGGGUGAAAUCCCUCGGCUCAACCGGGGAACUGCGUCUGAUACUGGGUGGCUUGAAUCCGGGAGAGGGAUGCGGAAUUCCAGGUGUAGCGGUGAAAUGCGUAGAUAUCUGGAGGAACACCGGUGGCGAAGGCGGCAUCCUGGACCGGCAUUGACGCUGAGGCGCGAAAGCCAGGGGAGCAAACGGG